rnacentral:rRNA from 1 species
UACGUAGGGGGCAAGCGUUGUUCGGAAUUACUGGGCGUAAAGGGCGUGUAGGCGGUGCGGUAUGUUGGACGUGAAAUCCCCGGGCUCAACUCGGGGCGGUCGUUCAAAACUGCCGUGCUAGAGUGUGGGAGAGGGAAGUGGAAUUCCCGGUGUAGCGGUGAAAUGCGUAGAUAUCGGGAAGAACACCUGUGGCGAAGGCGGCUUCCUGGCCCACAACUGACGCUGAGGCGCGAAAGCUAGGGGAGCGAACUGG